AACGCACCUUGCACUCUUUGGUAUUCCGAAGAGUAUGUCUGUUUGAGUGUCGUGAAAUUCUCAACCCCCCUAUUUUGUAAUGGAAUAGUGUGUGGGCUUGGAUUAUGGCUGCUUGUCGGAUCUUACCAGACCGGCUCAGCUGAAAUACACGAGCGACCCAAAUGAAUAGUGACGGCUUGACUCGGCGUAAUAACAUAUUCGCUGGGGACGUCCAUUUCUCCGUGGUGCUUCUAAUGCGAUAUAAUCAUCUAAGCUUUAGACCUCAAAUCAGUCAGGACUACCCGCUGAACUUAA
rnacentral:misc_RNA from 2 species